GGAGUAAUAGUUUGACUUGAUAGAACAACAGAUUUCUAAUCUGUAGGUCAUAGGUUCGAGUCAUAUAUGCUCCU
rnacentral:tRNA from 1 species